rnacentral:rRNA from 1 species
GCGCAGCAGUCGCGAAAACUCCGCAAUACGCGAAAGCGUGACGGGGCCAUCCCGAGUGCCGUCCGCUGAGGAUGGCUUUUCCCUAGUGUAGAUAGCUGGGGGAAUAAGGAGAGGGCAAGUCUGGUGUCAGCCGCCGCGGUAAUACCAGCUCUCCGAGUGGUGUGGAUGUUUAUUGGGCCUAAAGCAUCCGUAGCUUGCCAAGCAAGUCCCCUGUUAAACCCACCGAAUUAAUCGUUGGAUUGCGGGGGAUACUGCUCGGCUAGGGGACGGGAGAGGCCGACGGUAUUUCCGGGGUAGGGGUGAAAUCCUAUAAUCCCGGGAAGACCACCAGUGGCGAAGGCUGUCGGCUAGAACGCGCCCGACGGUGAGGGAUGAAAGCUGGGGGAGCGAACCGGAGUAGAUACCCGCGUAGUCC